AGAUAUCACCAAGAAUACCCAUUGCGAAGGCGAUCUGCUGGAACUCAACUGACGCUAAGGCGCGAAAGCGUGGGGAGCAAACAGGAUUAGAUACCCUGGUAGUCCACGCCCUAAACGAUGUACACUAGUUGUUGGGAUGCUAGUCAUCUCAGUAAUGCAGCUAACGCAUUAAGUGUACCGCCUGGGGAGUACGGUCGCAAGAUUAAAACUCAAAGGAAUAGACGGGGACCCGCACAAGCGGUGGAGCAUGUGGUUUAAUUCGAAGAUACGCGAAGAACCUUACCUGGGCUUGAUAUCCUAAGAACCUUAUAGAGAUAUGAGGGUGCUAGCUUGCUAGAACUUAGAGACAGGUGCUGCACGGCUGUCGUCAGCUCGUGUCGUGAGAUGUUGGGUUAAGUCCCGCAACGAGCGCAACCCACGUAUUUAGUUGCUAACGGUUCGGCCGAGCACUCUAAAUAGACUGCCUUCGUAAGGAGGAGGAAGGUGUGGACGACGUCAAGUCAUCAUGGCCCUUAUGCCCAGGGCGACACACGUGCUACAAUGGCAUAUACAAUGAGACGCAAUACCGCGAGGUGGAGCAAAUCUAUAAAAUAUGUCCCAGUUCGGAUUGUUCUCUGCAACUCGAGAGCAUGAAGCCGGAAUCGCUAGUAAUCGUAGAUCAGCCAUGCUACGGUGAAUACGUUCCCGGGUCUUGUACUCACCGCCCGUCACACCAUGGGAGUUGAUUUCACUCGAAGCCGGAAUACUAAA
rnacentral:rRNA from 1 species